rnacentral:rRNA from 1 species
CCUACGGGCGGCAGCAGUGAGGAAUAUUGGUCAAUGGCCGGAAGGCUGAACCAGCCAAGCCGCGUGAGGGAGGAAGGCGCAGAGCGUCGCAGACCUCUUUUGCCGGGGGACAAAAGGCCGGACGGGUCCGGUUCUGAGUGUACCCGGAGAAAAAGCAUCGGCUAACUCCGUGCCAGCAGCCGCGGUAAUACGGAGGAUGCGAGCGUUAUCCGGAUUCAUUGGGUUUAAGGGGUGGGCAGGGGGGCCUUUAAGCGGGCGGGGAAAUCGCGGGGCUCAACCCCGCCGAGCAGUCGGAACUGGGAGCCUAGAGUGCGGGAGGGGCAUGCGGAAUGCGCGGUGUAGCGGGGAAAGGCAUAGAUAUCGAGAAGAACACUGAUGGCGAAGGCAGGGUGCCGUAC